UGGUAUAUUCAACCCGCGGUCCAGACGCCGCCGUGACGGCGCGGCGGCGCGAUGCAGAACGGGGGCGGUGGAUGGAGAUUGCAGGGGCCGGAUCCGCGCGCGGCAGUGGCUAGGAAAGGCGGAUCCGGAGGCGUGCGGCGCGGAGGGGAUCGCCGGUGACGAAGAGGAAGGCCGGAGCAUGGCUACCCGGGUGGAUCCAUGGCGUCCACGGCUCUUGGGCAGAGGGAGAUAAGGAGGUGAGGGAGAGAAGAAGGGACAAAGGAGGAGCGGUGCGGCGACCUAGGAGAGCUCGCCGGAGCCGAGCGACGGCGGACGGGCGCGGGCGUCGGCAGACGGGCGCGGGAGAUGGAGGGAUCCGAUGCGGCGGCGUAAAUCCUGCUACAGGUGCGAGCCGCUCGUCUUCUAGGACCACUCUCAAGACGACGGUGGCGUCAACGGCUAGGCGCACGACGGCAGCCCUCCCGUUGCUACGGAGCCUGGUGGAGUGCCCUGAGGCCGCAGAUGCUGCUGCUACACUCGCACCACCAGCUCAAGGUCAGUCUCCUUCACCUCGUUCUACAGUGCAACUCCCGUCUGGCACCAUGAUACCUUACUUCUGCCCCUCUGGUUUGGAGAGUGUGUGCUCUCAGCUCUGCUGGGCAGGCCGUGCUCUCUUGCGUGCGAGCAAGGGAGAAGAGCGAGCUUGCUGAUUCUUACCUGCAGCUCCAACAUUUAAGCCUGCAAACCGAAUCUUCAGAUUUGUCUUCUACAGAAUAGGAUUUUUUUACAGUUACAUACUCAUUGAAGUUACAUGAUGUGCAGUUUAUAAAUUUGAUUACUAGGGGACUUUUACUACAUGUCCAGUUAUGGUUUCAUGAUAAAAGGAGCGCGCACCAAACGUUUGUUGAAUUGCUGCUUGAAGAAAAUGUAUGGAGUUUUUAUUGCUUGCUUCAAGUCAUAAACCACGUAAAAUAAAUCCUAUAAGCUGUUCUUACCAUAUUAUCUUUUGAACCAAUUUUGUAAACUUAGUACGAUAUGAUUAUUGUUUUUGUAGGGUUUCCUAUAGAUAUAUUUGAGCUAUUAAAAAUGUGAUUAUAUCAUUUGUCAUCUGAAAACCAGACUCAUGUAUACAUUAUGGGACAUAAUGUCCAGGAAAUAAUCACCAGGUACAAACAUCACUCUUAACCUACAUUGUACAACACUGCAUAAUUUUCUGUUUUUCGUGAGGUACCGUUAGUAUUUUUUUAUCGCAUACAUAAAUAGAACAAAGGUCACAAGAGCUGAUUUUGUGCACCUUGCUGCAUCUGCACUGACUUGAUUAAGAUAUUCAAAGUGUGAGCUUUUGAAAUUUCCAAAAAUAAGUCAGAUUGUCAUUAUUAACCUAUGUGCACAUGCCAAUAUUUUCUGACUCUGUGACAAUUGUCUUUGAGAAUAAUUGGAUGAACCACCAUGUCGCCCUUGCGCCUGGUUCCAUGGGAAAGUAAUUUACAAAGCUUCAGUUGGUCAAUACAGCCUACAUGUUUUUUUAACAGGCAGCUACAGGUUGACAUCUUUUAUCUGAUUCCAUGUUUUCUACCACUGCUUAACUUUAUUUGAAAAACUGUUGUUGAUAUGUAGGCAUGAUACAAUACUAGAGUUGUAUGCAGGAUAUAGUACUAGAGUUGGAAUUUCAGGGAAUCCAAAAAAGAACUUACUAUGCUUCAGCCCAUGUUUUCUACCAUUGCUUGCUUUUACUUGAAAAACUGUUGUUGUUAUGUAUGCCAGAUACAAUACUAGAGCUGGAAUUUCAGGGCAUCCAAAAAGAAUUUACUAUGCUUCAGGUAAGAAAGUUAAUUUGUUUGACUUUUGUAAGGACUAAAUUACGGACGCGGAUUUGGUGAACAUGGGUGCGCGCGCACCCUUUAUGAAUAGUAAAUUCAAAAAAAUGCUAGAAAAAAUCAAAAAAAUCUGAACUUAUUUUUGUAAUAUACAUAGUCAACCGCUAUGCUUGCAUAUGAAGUUUCACGAAGAAAUCACAUCCGUGGUAAUCUGGUCAAAAAUGACAAAAUCGAACCUAAUCGAAGCUAUAUUAAAAAACACUAUUUAAUGAAUAGUAUGGUCGCAUUUGUAUUUUCUUCACUAAGAAUACCAUGGGUGUCAAUAUAUCAUGAAACUUCACACGUGAGUAGAAUGAUCGACUAAGUUUCAUACCGCAAAAUUUCAGAUUUUUUUCAUUUUUUCUAGUAUUUUUUAUGAAUUUACUAUUCACGUGGGUGCACCCGCACCCAUGUUCACCUUUGUAUUUUCGCUAAAUUACUAGCUUAAUGCAUGGGACUUAUUGAGCUGCAGACAUGGCAUGUGCGUACAUAGAGACCUGCUGCGGAUACACCUCUUCUUACAGGAUAGGCUGUCUAAGAAUUAUCUUGAGCUUCAAUUUCCAUAAUAAAACGUGUGUUUUUAUUUAUCAUGGUUUCUCCUCCUACAUAACCAAAAUUUCCAGAUGUUGUUUUAUCAUUUCCUCCGGCGCCAUUAAAUCUCAGUCUUACCUAUGUUGAAAUGGUUCCAGCGUGUGCAUGAUGCACUGCUCCCCUUAGUUUUCGGAGGAACAUGGUGCUAUUCCUGGUGCUUUUGGUUAUGGAAAAACUGACAUUAGUCAGGAACUUUCUAAGUACUCUAGUUCUGAAGCUUUGGUUUAUGUGGGAUGUGGCUGAAAGAGGAAAUGAGAUGGCCAAGAUUCUAAUGGAUUUCCCCCAAUCGACAAUGACAUUUCUUGACAUGAUGUGAAGAGUGGAGCUGCUUAAAGUACAUGGCGAGCUCACCAUGCUCACCUUUCUUCCUACAGAUUGGGAGCCGCCGACCAUGACCCAUGGUGUGUAGAUGAUACACUGGUGAUGCGUUCCAAGGGACGAAGAGGAGCUCAUGAUUUUCGGGGACGAGGAGGAGCUUGCAAGUUCCAGACUUGGCUUGCCCGACCUGCCGACGCAUGAGGAGGACUAGGAGUCUGGUGUUUUCUCUGCAAUGAAGAACGGAUGUCUUCGGGUGCAACGCACGUGCUCUUUUGCUUUUACAAACUUCAGUUCUAAUUUUAGUGUUCGGCUGAUAGUAGUCUGUUGGAACAAGUGCAAAGGCAACAUCAUCUUCCAGCAGAAGAUUUCCCCUGCAUUGAGCGCUUCAGAGAUGCACUAGGUGGGUAAAACAUCGACAGUUUAGAGAAAGUCAAGCCAUAUUUACUACUACUAUGUUGUACUAACAAAUCUAGCAUCAGUUCGAAUGAUUUAAGGAAAGUAAACAGAGAUGUUGAUGAGCUUAA